rnacentral:lncRNA from 1 species
CAAGAAAGAUUGCUACUGUCCGGAUACAUGUCGAAAGAAUUAUUGGUUUACUGAGACCGAAAUAUACCAUUCUUCAACAAACUUUGCCAAUUGAAUGAACUGAUUACCUUAUUUGCAGAAAAGGAGAAUCUGUUCCUCUCAUUGACAGAAUGAUUAAAGUUUGCUCUGCACUAGUAAACUUUUGCCUUCAUACUAUAUACCUUUUGAUUGAAGUAAAGUAUUUUACAACAUUAUGUUUUUACCAAGAAACAGAAACACAUUCUUUCAACAUUUGAAAAUUUGGUGGUCAAGUCUGAGAACCUCCUCAUGGUGACCACUGGGCAACAGCAUGUUGUGUAAAUCAGGGGUGGAUUAGUAAGCUACUUUAAUUGUACUUUGUCAAAAAGAGACCCCUUUGCAGCUGCAAAGUAAAAAACUACCCCUGUUUGUUUCACGACAUGCUGGCUAAUCUCAGCAAUAAUAUUUCAUGCAAUUCUCAUGGGGGCUUGUGAUAUGGGGAAUAAAUACAUCACUAUUUCAACUAGGCCUGUUUGAAUACCAUGAGCAUUGAAACAAUGUAAAAACCAUGUCUGUUGGGACUGUAUUAUUGGUGGGGGUUAACUAAUUGAUUGGGCCACCCAAAGACUUGGGGUAGGCCAGGGCAAUCAAAACUAUUUUAGGGUCCCAUAGAUAUGAUUUGACAAAGCCAUAUUUUGUGUAAAGUGCUGAGAUUAGCCAAAAGGUUGUGCAAAAGUUUGCAAUCACACAGGGGUAGAUUAACACUUUAACAGACCAACAUAUGACAUUGCACAAAUAAUAUGCAAAAUAAAAUGUUGUCCAGUUAAACAAUAUAUAGGGGUCCUGGUAUGCUAAUCCGCCCCGUGUUUACACAACAUGCUGUUGCCCAGUGGUCACCGUGUGGAGGUUCUCAGUCUUCACCAGUGACCACCAAAAAUGUUUAAUGUUUAUCAAAGUCUUAAGUCUGUAAUAAUUUUCAAAUGCAAAAAGUUUGUAUCUUUGAUAGAGUUUUAUGUAUAAUAAUUUUAACAGUUAGUUCAAUAAAAAUGCAAACUGAAUAUUGGUGUAAGCUUUUUUAUUUUGUGCUCUCAGCCGUCGGAAAAAGAGUAAUGAGAC